AGAGCCCAGGGAGGCCCUUGAGAUGGGGGUCCAUUUGGCCACCCGUGAGAUCUGCCCUUAAGGCCACACACACACGGCCUCCGCGGGACCCACUGAAGCCUGUUCUCCCACUUUUUCUUCUUCUGUCCUCACUUCCUAUAAGAGACUCCAUGUUUAAGUUCAUCCUAUCCUGCCUUCAGGCUUCACAAGAACUGGCCCUCUUAUUGCCACAAGUGGAAGAGAUGUUAUUUGCCAGAAGCUCUCUUAGGGAAAGCACAGUUAUGCAUGUGGAAACACAUGUCCAUAAGCUGCUUGGCCCAAGAGUGAAAUCCCAAGGGCACAAUCAACUGCAGAAGCGGAUUUCAAAACUGAUAUAAGACCACAGCUCUCGGCACAGAGCCCUCACCUGAGGGAGCCACAAGGCCGGGAGGCUGGGGAACCAUGCAAAGCUGGACUGGCAGGAACCUGGACGCCCCACAGGAGCAGCCUCAGGCAGCAGCAGCGCCCUCUGUGGAAUCUAUCUUAAGAAAAUAAUACACGAGGCAGCAGGAUGUAUACACCAGAACAUGCUGGGCUAUUUCUGCUAUGUCUCGCUUGGAAGCGACGAGUCAUGGAACGAAGCUAGCCCCCUUUGACAAGCUGCGGCUCGUGGUGUGAGGUGGCCUGCCGAGCGACCGCUAGAAGUAUGUACGCAAAGAUUCUGAAAAUCCUGGGGAACAUGAACAUGAUACAGUAUCACAUAAAAAAGCAGAUGAGUAAACCGUAAAAUUGACAUGGUCCCAGUUUCAUUUUUUAAAAUGAG
rnacentral:lncRNA from 1 species